GACGAACGCUGGCGGCGUGCCUAAUACAUGCAAGUUGAGCGAUGAAGAUUGGUGCUUGCACCAAUUUGAAGAGCAGCGAACGGGUGAGUAACGCGUGGGGAAUCUGCCUUUUAGCGGGGGACAACAUUUGGAAACGAAUGCUAAUACCGCAUAACAACUUUAAACAUAAGUUUUAAGUUUGAAAGAUGCAAUUGCAUCACUCAAAGAUGAUCCCGCGUUGUAUUAGCUAGUUGGUGAGGUAAAGGCUCACCAAGGCGAUGAUACAUAGCCGACCUGAGAGGGUGAUCGGCCACAUUGGGACUGGGACACGGCCCAAACUCCUACGGGAGGCAGCAGUAGGGAAUCUUCGGCGAUGGACGAAAGUCUGAACGAGCAACGCCGCGUGAGUGAAGAAGGUUUUCGGAUCGUAAAACUCUGUUGGUAGAGAAGAACGUUGGUGAGAGUGGAAAGCUCAUCAAGUGACGGUAACUAACCAGAAAGGGACGGCUAACUACGUG
rnacentral:rRNA from 1 species